rnacentral:rRNA from 1 species
GAUGAACGCUGGCGGCGUGCCUAAUACAUGCAAGUCGAGCGAACGGACGAGAAGCUUGCUUCUCUGAUGUUAGCGGCGGACGGGUGAGUAACACGUGGAUAACCUACCUAUAAGACUGGGAUAACUUCGGGAAACCGGAGCUAAUACCGGAUAAUAUUUUGAACCGCAUGGUUCAAAAGUGAAAGACGGUCUUGCUGUCACUUAUAGAUGGAUCCGCGCUGCAUUAGCUAGUUGGUAAGGUAACGGCUUACCAAGGCAACGAUGCAUAGCCGACCUGAGAGGGUGCUCGGCCACACUGGAACUGAGACCCGGUCCAGACUCCUACGGGCGGCAGCAGUAGGGAAUCUUCCGCAAUGGGCGAAAGCCUGACGGAGCAACGCCGCGUGAGUGAUGAAGGUCUUCGGAUCGUAAAACUCUGUUAUUAGGGAAGAACAUAUGUGUAAGUAACUGUGCACAUCUUGACGGUACCUAAUCAGAAAGCCACGGCUAACUACGUG